rnacentral:rRNA from 1 species
AUUGAACGCUGGCGGCAUGCCUUACACAUGCAAGUCGAACGGUAACAGGUCUUCGGAUGCUGACGAGUGGCGAACGGGUGAGUAAUACAUCGGAACGUGCCUAGUAGUGGGGGAUAACUACUCGAAAGAGUGGCUAAUACCGCAUGAGAUCUACGGAUGAAAGCAGGGGAUCGCAAGACCUUGUGCUACUAGAGCGGCCGAUGGCAGAUUAGGUAGUUGGUGGGAUAAAAGCUCACUAAGCCGACGAUCUGUAGCUGGUCUGAGAGGACGAUCAGCCACACUGGAACUGAGACACGGCCCAGACUCCUACGGGAGGCAGCAGUGGGGAAUUUUGGACAAUGGGCGAAAGCCUGAUCCAGCAAUGCCGCGUGCAGGAUGAAGGCCUUCGGGUUGUAAACUGCUUUUGUACGGAACGAAAAGCCCCGGGUUAAUACCCUGGGGUCAUGACGGUACCGUAAGAAUAAGCACCGGCUAACUACGUGCCAGCCGCCGCCGUAA